GGACCCAACCAAGGUUGACCGCAGUGGAGCAUACGUCGCAAGGCAAGCUGCCAAGAGCAUUGUUGCUAGUGGCCUUGCUCGCCGCUGCAUUGUCCAAGUAUCAUACGCCAUCGGUGUCCCAGAGCCACUGUCCGUAUUCGUCGACACAUACGGCACUGGCAGGAUCCCUGACAAGGAGAUCCUCAAGAUUGUGAAGGAGAACUUCGACUUCAGGCCU
rnacentral:misc_RNA from 1 species